GGAGAAAGAAGGCCAAAUAUCAAGGGACUAGAGCUUCCCAUGUUGGAGGAGCAGAAGGUCGUUGGAGGAGCAGAAGGUCAUUGGAGUGCUGUGAAUGAAGGCCCAUGGAAAGAGAGGAUCAUGAGGUCAGCAGAAGGCCUUUCAGGCAAGACUUUGAGGGCCAUGCAUAGAGGGAGUCUUCGUUUCAAAAAGAAGGUCAUGGGCCAAUAACUUCAGGUACACCAGACCCGGUUGCUUUGCUGCCUGAUGCCAGCUUUGGCCAUAACUUUGCAGAAGAAAAGAAUGCAAGAUCCUCACCACCUGGACUCUUAUCAUUUACCCGGGCUGUGAGCCCCACAUAUAAAAUCUUUCCCAACUCCCGAGGAGCAGGGGGCACAGUUCUUGAGGUGCUAGCCUGCUGUGUCUUCCCUUCUGCCUGGCAGAAAAAUAAAGCCAUCUCUCUCUUCCUCCAAAAUCUCUGUCUCCGUAUUUCUAUUUGGCCUCAGUGCACAGAGUAGCCAUUAUUACGGCAACAAAAUUUAGAGCUGAAAGUUAUACAGUGUAGCCCUCGCCCCUUAUUUGCAGGGGAUACAUUCCAUUAUUCCUAGUGGAUGCCUGAA